rnacentral:rRNA from 1 species
AUUGAACGCUAGCGGCAGGCCUAACACAUGCAAGUCGAACGAGCGGCGGACGGGUGAGUAAUGUAUGGGGAUCUGCCCGAUAGAGGGGGAUAACUACUGGAAAAGGUGGCUAAUACCGCAUACUAUUGGAUGACCGAUAUUGGAUUAGCUAGUUGGUGGGGGAAAGGCUCACCUAGGCGACGAUCCAUAGCUUGUCUGAGAGGAUGAACAGCCACACUGGGACUGAGACACGGCCCAGACUCCUACGGUAGGCAGCAGUGGGGAAUAUUGUACAAUGGGCGCAACCCUGAUGCAGCCAUGCCGCGUGUAUGAAGAAGGUUUUCGGAUUGUAAAAUUCUGUUGUUAGAGAAGCGGGAUCUACCCAGAAAGCAACGGCUAACUACGUGCCAGCAGCCGCGGUAAUAC